rnacentral:rRNA from 1 species
UACGUAGGGAGCAAGCGUUGUCCGGAUUUAUUGGGCGUAAAGAGAUCGUAGGCGGCUUAGAAAGUCAGGUGUGAAACCUCCAGGCUCAACCUGGAGACGCCACUUGAUACUUCUAUGGCUUGAGUUCGGUAGGGGAUCACGGAAUUCCUGGUGUAGCGGUGAAAUGCGCAGAUAUCAGGAGGAACACCGAUGGCGAAGGCAGUGAUCUGGGCCGAUACUGACGCUGAGGAGCGAAAGCGUGGGGAGCGAACAGG